rnacentral:rRNA from 1 species
CUGGCUCAGGACGAACGCUGGCGGCGUGCUUAACACAUGCAAGUCGAACGAUGAAGCCCUUCGGGGUG